rnacentral:rRNA from 3 species
CUCCGGGGGUAGAGCACUGUUUCGGCUAGGGGGCCAUCCCGGCUUACCAACCCGAUGCAAACUGCGAAUACCGGAGAAUGUUAUCACGGGAGACACACGGCGGGUGCUAACGUCCGUCGUGAAGAGGGAAACAACCCAGACCGCCAGCUAAGGUCCCAAAGUCAUGGUUAAGUGGGAAACGAUGUGGGAAGGCCCAGACAGCCAGGAUGUUGGCUUAGAAGCAGCCAUCAUUUAAAGAAAGCGUAAUAGCUCACUGGUCGAGUCGGCCUGCGCGGAAGAUGUAACGGGGCUAAACCAU